rnacentral:rRNA from 1 species
UACGGAGGGUGCGAGCGUUAUCCGGAAUCACUGGGUUUAAAGGGUGCGCAGGCGGUCCGUCAAGUCAGUCGUGAAAUGCCCCGGCUCAACCGGGGAGCUGCGAUUGAUACUGUCGGACUUGAAUCAGGUUGAGGCGGGCGGAAUGUGGCAUGUAGCGGUGAAAUGCUUAGAUAUGCCAUAGAACACCGAUUGCGAAGGCAGCUCGCUGGGCCUCGAUUGACGCUGAGGCACGAAAGCGUGGGGAGCAAACAGG